CGUUUCGGGAUUUAUUGGGCGUAAGAGAGUGCAGGCGGUUUUCUAAGUCUGAUGUGAAAGCCUUCGGCUUAACCGGAGAAGUGCAUCGGAAACUGGAUAACUUGAGUGCAGAAGAGGGUAGUGGAACUCCAUGUGUAGCGGUGGAAUGCGUAGAUAUAUGGAAGAACACCAGUGGCGAAGGCGGCUACCUGGUCUGCAACUGACGCUGAGACUCGAAAGCAUGGGUAGCGAACAGGAUUAGAUACCCUGGUAGUCCAUGCCGUAAACGAUGAGUGCUAGGUGUUGGAGGGUUUCCGCCCUUCAGUGCCGGAGCUAACGCAUUAAGCACUCCGCCUGGGGAGUACGACCGCAAGGUUGAAACUCAAAGGAAUUGACGGGGGCCCGCACAAGCGGUGGAGCAUGUGGUUUAAUUCGAAGCUACGCGAAGAACCUUACCAGGUCUUGACAUCUUGCGCCAACCCUAGAGAUAGGGCGUUUCCUUCGGGAACGCAAUGACAGGUGGUGCAUGGUCGUCGUCAGCUCGUGUCGUGAGAUGUUGGGUUAAGUCCCGCAACGAGCGCAACCCUUGUUACUAGUUGCCAGCAUUAAGUUGGGCACUCUAGUGAGACUGCCGGUGACAAACCGGAGGAAGGUGGGGACGACGUCAGAUCAUCAUGCCCCUUAUGACCUGGGCUACACACGUGCUACAAUGGACGGUACAACGAGUCGCGAACUCGCGAGGGCAAGCAAAUCUCUUAAAACCGUUCUCAGUUCGGACUGCAGGCUGCAACUCGCCUGCACGAAGUCGGAAUCGCUAGUAAUCGCGGAUCAGCAUGCCGCGGUGAAUACGUUCCCGGGCCUUGUACACACCGCCCGUCACACCAUGAAAAGUUUGUAACACCCAAAGUCGGUGGGGGUAACCUUUUUAGGAGCCAGCCGCCCUAAGGUGGGGACAGAUGAUUAAGGGUGAAAGUCGUUACAAGGGUAGCCCUUAGGAAAAACCUGCGGCUGG
rnacentral:rRNA from 1 species